CUCGGAGAACGUCCAUAAGAACUGUUGACUAUUUAGUCUUCAUCUGCCAAAGUGGUCACUCAGGGCAGGCAGAGUUGGAUGUGUGGACACCAGCACCAGCUUAGCUCAAGUCCUUGUUGCACUUGCCCAGUUCCUUGCAAAGUUGACCUGUUGUUGAUCUUGCAGCAUCUUCCUACAAUGUAUAACUUAGAUCACAGAUUAGUUUUCUCCCAAAGUUAGAUCUCCUUGAGGCACACACCAGAUAACCCCAUCCUGCUGCAUUACCCACCAGGUAUACCCUGGUCCUUGGGUGAAGACAAUACCACGAGUGGGUUUGCCUUGUCCCGAGGCAGGAGUAACCCACACCGCCUUCCCCAUCCACUUCCCUAAGUAAAGGAAAGAACAACUCACGGGUUGAGAUAAG